rnacentral:rRNA from 1 species
GUGGGGAAUAUUGCACAAUGGGCGGAAGCCUGAUGCAGCAACGCCGCGUGCGGGAUGACGGCCUUCGGGUUGUAAACCGCUUUCACUCAUGACGAAGCGCGAGUGACGGUAAUGGGAGAAGAAGCACCGGCCAACUACGUGCCAGCAGCCGCGGUGAUACGUAGGGUGCGAGCGUUGUCCGGAAUUAUUGGGCGUAAAGAGCUUGUAGGCGGUUGAUCGCGUCGGAAGUGAAAUUCCAGGGCUUAACUCUGGGCUUGCUUCCGAUACGGGUCGACUUGAGGAAGGUAGGGGAGAAUGGAAUUCUCGGUGGAGCGGUGGAAUGCGCAGAUAUCGGGAAGAACACCAGUGGCGAAGGCGGUUCUCUGGACCUUUCCUGACGCUGAGAAGCGAAAGCGUGGGGAGCAAACAGGCUUAGAUACCCUAGUAGUCC